rnacentral:rRNA from 1 species
GAAACCCGGUGAUCUAGCCAUGGGCAGGUUGAAGGUUGGGUAACACUAACUGGAGGACCGAACCGACUAAUGUUGAAAAAUUAGCGGAUGACUUGUGGCUGGGGGUGAAAGGCCAAUCAAACCGGGAGAUAGCUGGUUCUCCCCGAAAGCUAUUUAGGUAGCGCCUCGUGAAUUCAUCUCCGGGGGUAGAGCACUGUUUCGGCAAGGGGGUCAUCCCGACUUACCAACCCGAUGCAAACUGCGAAUACCGGAGAAUGUUAUCACGGGAGACACACGGCGGGUGCUAACGUCCGUCGUGAAGAGGGAAACAACCCAGACCGCCAGCUAAGGUCCCAAAGUCAUGGUUAAGUGGGAAACGAUGUGGGAAGGCCCAGACAGCCAGGAUGUUGGCUUAGAAGCAGCCAUCAUUUAAAGAAAGCGUAAUAGCUCACUGGUCGAGUCGGCCUGCGCGGAAGAUGUAACGGGGCUAAACCAUGCACCGAAGCUGCGGCAGCGACACUAUGUGUUGUUGGGUAGGGGAGCGUUCUGUAAGCCUGUGAAGGUGGCCUGUGAGGGUUGCUGGAGGUAUCAGAAGUGCGAAUGCUGACAUAAGUAACGAUAAAGCGGGUGAAAAGCCCGCUCGCCGGAAGACCAAGGGUUCCUGUCCAACGUUAAUCGGGGCAGGGUGAGUCGACCCCUAAGGCGAGGCCGAAAGGCGUAGUCGAUGGGAAACAGGUUAAUAUUCCUGUACUUGGUGUUACUGCGAAGGGGGGACGGAGAAGGCUAUGUUGGCCGGGCGACGGUUGUCCCGGUUUAAGCGUGUAGGCUGGUUUUCCAGGCAAAUCCGGAAAACCAAGGCUGAGGCGUGAUGACGAGGCACUACGGUGCUGAAGCGACAAAUGCCCUGCUUCCAGGAAAAGCCUCUAAGCAUCAGGUAACAUCAAAUCGUACCCCAAACCGACACAGGUGGUCAGGUAGAGAAUACCAAGGCGCUUGAGAGAACUCGGGUGAAGGAACUAGGCAAAAUGGUGCCGUAACUUCGGGAGAAGGCACGCUGAUAUGUAGGUGAAGCGACUUGCUCGUGGAGCUGAAAUCAGUCGAAGAUACCAGCUGGCUGCAACUGUUUAUUAAAAACACAGCACUGUGCAAACACGAAAGUGGACGUAUACGGUGUGACGCCUGCCCGGUGCCGGAAGGUUAAUUGAUGGGGUUAGCGGUAACGCGAAGCUCUUGAUCGAAGCCCCGGUAAACGGCGGCCGUAACUAUAACGGUCCUAAGGUAGCGAAAUUCCUUGUCGGGUAAGUUCCGACCUGCACGAAUGGCGUAAUGAUGGCCAGGCUGUCUCCACCCGAGACUCAGUGAAAUUGAACUCGCUGUGAAGAUGCAGUGUACCCGCGGCAAGACGGAAAGACCCCGUGAACCUUUACUAUAGCUUGACACUGAACAUUGAGCCUUGAUGUGUAGGAUAGGUGGGAGGCUUUGAAGUGUGGACGCCAGUCUGCAUGGAGCCGACCUUGAAAUACCACCCUUUAAUGUUUGAUGUUCUAACGUUGGCCCGUAAUCCGGGUUGCGGACAGUGUCUGGUGGGUAGUUUGACUGGGGCGGUCUCCUCCUAAAGAGUAACGGAGGAGCACGAAGGUUGGCUAAUCCUGGUCGGACAUCAGGAGGUUAGUGCAAUGGCAUAAGCCAGCUUGACUGCGAGCGUGACGGCGCGAGCAGGUGCGAAAGCAGGUCAUAGUGAUCCGGUGGUUCUGAAUGGAAGGGCCAUCGCUCAACGGAUAAAAGGUACUCCGGGGAUAACAGGCUGAUACCGCCCAAGAGUUCAUAUCGACGGCGGUGUUUGGCACCUCGAUGUCGGCUCAUCACAUCCUGGGGCUGAAGUAGGUCCCAAGGGUAUGGCUGUUCGCCAUUUAAAGUGGUACGCGAGCUGGGUUUAGAACGUCGUGAGACAGUUCGGUCCCUAUCUGCCGUGGGCGCUGGAGAACUGAGGGGGGCUGCUCCUAGUACGAGAGGACCGGAGUGGACGCAUCACUGGUGUUCGGGUUGUCAUGCCAAUGGCACUGCCCGGUAGCUAAAUGCGGAAGAGAUAAGUGCUGAAAGCAUCUAAGCACGAAACUUGC